rnacentral:misc_RNA from 1 species
GAAAGUUCUAGCCUUCUAGGUCAAUAAUAUUCCAGGUCUUUCCUUUAUCCACGGGCAAACCCGGGAAAAAAAAAUAGAUACCAUUUCAGUAGACCAGUUUGCUUUUCUUCGUUAACUACGCCUGUCUAAAUCAAAGCAACAGAAAUUCAUUCAUUCAUUGAUUCUUGCAGAAUUUCAUCACAAAUGAACGGGAAGAACGAAUCGGGAGGGGAGAGGGGGAGAUUGGUGGUUAUAGGAGGGGGUAUUGCAGGCUCCUUGCUUGCCGAAUCCCUUCAAUUCGAUGUUGAUGUUACCCUCAUUGAUCCGAAGGAGUACUUUGAAAUCACAUGGGCAAGCUUGAGAGCAAUGGUGGAGCCAUCAUUUGGGAAGAGAUCAGUGAUAAAUCAUAGAGAUUACUUCACAAAUGGCCGUAUUGUUACAUCUAAUGCAAUCAACAUCACUGACACAGUUGUAUUGACUGCAGAGGGUCAUAUAGUUCCCUAUGAUUAUCUUGUCAUUGCUACUGGCCAUGCAGAGUCUGUUCCAAAAACUAGGAUGGCAAGACUUGCUGAAUACCAAGCAGGUAAAACGAUGCAGAAACACAAGUAAUUCCAUAUCCAAUUGCAAAUUUAUUAAUGUUGGCCCCAGUCUUAGCUAUUUAGUACACAGAUGGCAAGAAACAGGAUUCCUUAAAGCUGCUAUUAGUGCAUUAUUGGCACAGCUUAAGUGCACAUCUGUUUCUUACUAUUCGAGCUUCUAUUGAAUUUUGGUUUGGAGGAACAAGAAAGGUAUAAAAAAAAAACCAAUUUGAGCCAUUGGAUAGAAUUGUGGUGAAUGUUAAAGGUUUGGAUAUUUAACACGAAAUUAAAUAUUGUGGAUAUCAACGUGAAUUGACGCAAAUGUUUGGCCUUUUUUUUUUGUCCAAUUGGUGAAAAAAAAAAAAUUCAUAUUUUGAUAAACUCACAAUCUUGUGACUAAUUGAGUUUUCAAUGAAUUAAGGGAUAAUUGGAUCAUACUAUGUGAAGAAUUGGUUCUAGCAGUGUGCAUAUGUUUAUGUGUGUAUAUAUUGUAUUUCUGCUCAACUUAGUUCUGUGAUAUUUGCACUGGCAGAAAAUGAAAAAAUUAAGUCUGCUCAUUCCAUUUUAAUUGUUGGAGGAGGUCCCACUGGUGUUGAACUUGCAGGAGAAAUUGCUGUUGAUUUCCCAGAAAAGAAGGUUACUCUGGUACAUAAUGGGUCAAGAUUGAUGGAAUUUAUUGGGCCAAAAGCUGCUGAUAAGACACUAAAAUGGUUAAGAUCAAAGAAUGUUGAUGUGAAAUUGGAGCGAAGGGUUGAUUUAAAUUCUAUUCCAGAAGUGGAUGAAAAUGGUAGCAGAAUAUACCAUUCUUUAGCUGGAGAAACUAUCAAGGCAGAUUGCCAUUUCCUAUGUGCAGGGAAACCACUGGGCUCAGCAUGGCUUAAGGAUACUGUUUUGAAGAACAACUUGGAUUUUCAUGGAAGAUUGGUGGUUGAUGAGUACUUAAGAGUCAAGGGCCGAAAAAAUAUAUUUGCAAUUGGAGAUAUUACUAAUAUUCCAGUAAGUUAUAGACUCAAUCCUACAAUCAUUUUUAAAAUUUAGGUUGGUUUUGCCAGGAUCCUUGUUUUUCCAUGAUUCAUAAUUCCUUCUGUGGUUGAUAGGGGUCCAAUUAAAGAAAAAGGCUAAUUACAUUUGAGUUUAUCACAGCAUAUUAGAUAAAUUUUCCUUAUCCGUUUAUUUGAGCAAAUUUUGAUAUGAUUUUGCCUGAGCUAUAUGGCAAAGCCAGAAUUUUCUAAGAGAGCAUUCUUAAUAAUUUCAAAGUAAACUUUGAAAUGACUCGGGUAAUUUUGUGAUGACAUUAAUGAAUAAGUCAUGGUUAGUUUUGUGAGCAUAAAUACCCUUGUUGUACCCUUAUAGCUUGGAAUUGGAUCAACCUAAAAUUUUAGUUUAGCUGAAUCAUGAAUUAAUAGCCCAUUUACUGUGCCGACCAUUUUAGUUCUUUUGACCCAGCCUGUUUGGUUGUAUACAGCAGUAAAAGAGGAUAACAUUCAUAUGCCAGGAUAUUUACUGUCGUCUGUUUGAUGCGCAUGCAAUGCUAAAGAAAGGUGUCUCACUACCUCAAUUAAAAGUGAUUGUAAAUUGUAAUUCUUCUAGAAACAAAUUAGCUUUGUGCAUAAAGUAAGUAGUGAAUGUUUUAUAUUUUUUUUUACUAGAAUUAAUGUAAGUGUAAAAAAAUCUGGCCCUUAUCAAGAAUCUAGUUGUUGAUUAGUAAACUAAUCAUGCACGUAUGGGUUUGAAUGAAAUACCAUAUAAUAUAACAGGAAAUCAAACAAGGGUAUUUGGCACAAAAACAUGCUGAAGUGGCUGCUGGAAACUUGAAGUUAUUGAUGGCUGGAGGAAAAGAAUGCAAAAUGGCCGCUUACAAGCCAGAUGGUUCAGUAACAGCAAUUGUUUCACUGGGAAGAAGAAAUGCUGUUGCACAAUUUCCAUUCAUUACCAUCAUUGGCCUUAUUCCCGGCAUGAUAAAAUCUGGAGACUUGUUUGUGGGGAAAACAAGGAAGCAAAGGGGCCUAGAACCGCAUGUUGUAUGAAUUGGAUGAGUGAACUGACCAAGAAUGUAGAAAUUGGUUACAGCUAGCCAGCCUCAUGUUUUCUGUUCAUGCUUCUUCGUCGUUUGUUGUGCAGUUGCCAUUUAUUUGGAAUUGAUGUUUGAAUUUGACUUGAGUUUUCAAAUAUAAGCUGAAUAUAUUUUAGAGUUUUGUAUGCUGGGCAUGCAUUUCUAUUUCCUGUUGAAUUUUAUUUUCCAAUUAAUAACUGAUAAAACACGUAUCC